rnacentral:lncRNA from 1 species
GUGUGAAAAAGUCCAGCAUGAACUCAGACAGGAUACAGACCAGAACCAGAGCCUCAUGUAGACAGAGCUGCUGCAGAAGGAGCAAUAAGCAUGCCUGCACCCUUGAGAGACCUGAGGAGGAUGAAGGAAAACACGGACAACUUGAAUCCAUGACUGUGUUCAGUCUAGGAUCAAGGCCUCCUCACAAAAGCCAUCUCCUUGUAGAUGAGAACUCAACAGACUGUCUGGAAUCAGUUGUGGCAUCACAAUCCUGUAACACCAGAACUCCCAGGCAGAGAUGGAUGUCUGCAAGUGCCAAGUGGCUUGGUCUACACAGUGAGUUCCUAGCUGAGGUUCAUAAUGCUACACAGAGGGGUGAUGUCUUGCAUGUAGAUGGUCUCAUCUCUGUGUAUAUUCCCUUGUGAGAGCAAAACUAUCUCUACUAUAUCUCUGAGGUCAUAUUAGCUAAAUAUACUAAAUGUUACUAAAAUACAAUACUGUAUACACUCAGGUUCAUAAAAUGAUCAAAAAGACCAAAUUAAUAGAAGACAUAACUGUACUCCUCUAAUACCUUAAGAGAUGAAAAUUUUAAAUGUGUAUAGAAGAAAUCAGAAAACCCUGAGCUAUCUGCCUCUGGUUUUCAUGAAAUAUAGCAUCAGUGAUAGAUGCAUUGCAGAGACAAUGACUUCCUCGACAUGUAGGGAUAUAGUUUUGUUUUUCUGCUUUUGUUUGUUUGUGUUUGAGAUUUAUUUCAUUCAUUUAUGUGUAUGGGUGUUUUGCAUG